rnacentral:rRNA from 1 species
ACGAAGUGAGUGGCGAACGGGUGAGUAACACGUGGGUAACCUGCCCAGAAGUAGGGGAUAACACCUGGAAACAGAUGCUAAUACCGUAUAACAGAGAAAACCGCAUGGUUUUCUUUUAAAAGAUGGCUCUGCUAUCACUUCUGGAUGGACCCGCGGCGUAUUAGCUAGUUGGUGAGGUAAAGGCUCACCAAGGCAGUGAUACGUAGCCGACCUGAGAGGGUAAUCGGCCACAUUGGGACUGAGACACGGCCCAGACUCCUACGGGAGGCAGCAGUAGGGAAUCUUCCACAAUGGACGCAAGUCUGAUGGAGCAACGCCGCGUGAGUGAAGAAGGGUUUCGGCUCGUAAAGCUCUGUUGUUAAAGAAGAACGUGGGUAAGAGUAACU